rnacentral:rRNA from 1 species
GACGAACGCUGGCGGCGUGCCUAAUACAUGCAAGUCGAGCGAACAGACGAGGCGCUUGCUCCUCUGACGUUAGCGGCGGACGGGAGAGUCACACGUGUAACACGUACUUGUAAGUCGGGGAUAACUACGGGACACCGGCGCAAAUAGCGUAUAAUAUAUUGAUGCGCGUGGUUGAAUAGAGAAAGUCGGCUUUGCGGUAAGUUAUAGCUGCAUACCGGCUUGUUUAGCUAGUUGGUACGGUAACGGCUUACCAAGGCAACGAUGCGUAGCCGACCGGAGAGGGUGAUCGCCCACACUGGAACUGAGACACGGUCCAGACUCCUACGGGAGGCAGCAGUAGGGAAUCUUCCGCAAUGGGCGAAAGCCUGACGGAGCAACGCCGCGUGAGUGAUGAAGGUCUUCGGAUCGUAAAACUCUGUUAUUAGGGAAGAACAAAUGUGUAAGUAACUAUGCACGUCUUGACGGUACCUAAUCAGAAAGCCACGGCUAACUACGUG